rnacentral:rRNA from 1 species
AGCGAACGCUGGCGGCAGGCCUAACACAUGCAAGUCGAACGAACUCUUCGGAGUUAGUGGCGGACGGGUGAGUAACACGUGGGAACGUGCCUUUUGGUUCGGAAUAACUCAGGGAAACUUGUGCUAAUACCGAAUGUGCCCUUCGGGGGAAAGAUUUAUCGCCAUUAGAGCGGCCCGCGUCUGAUUAGCUAGUUGGUGAGGUAACGGCUCACCAAGGCGACGAUCAGUAGCUGGUCUGAGAGGAUGACCAGCCACACUGGGACUGAGACACGGCCCAGACUCCUACGGGAGGCAGCAGUGGGGAAUCUUGCGCAAUGGGCGAAAGCCUGACGCAGCCAGGCCGCGUGAAUGAUGAAGGUCUUAGGAUUGUAAAAUUCUUUCACCGGGGACGAUAAUGACGGUACCCGGAGAAGAAGCCCCGGCGAACUUCGU